rnacentral:rRNA from 1 species
CUACGGGCCGCUCCAGGCGCGAAACCUUUACAAUGCACGAAAGUGUGAUAAGGGGAUUCUAAGUGCUCAUGUAUAACAUGGGCUUUUGCCAAGGGUAAAUACCUUGGCGAAUAAGUGGUGGGCAAGACUGGUGCCAGCCGCCGCGGUAACACCAGCGCCACAAGUGGGAACCAUGAUUUAUUGGGCCUAAAGCGUCCGUAGCCGGUUUAGUAAAUCCUUUGUGAAAUUGUCAGGCUUAACUUGACAGCGUGCAGAGGAGACUGCUAAACUAGGGACCGGGAGGAGUCAGAAGUAUUUCUUGGGGAGCGGUAAAAUGUUAUAAUCCUUGAAAGACUACCUGUGGCGAAGGCGUCUGACUAGAACGGAUCCGACGGUGAGGGACGAAAGCUAGGGGAGCGAUCCGGAUUAGAUACCCUGGUAGUC